AGCGGAGGAAAAGAAACUAACAAGGAUUCCCCUAGUAACGGCGAGUGAAGCGGGAAGAGCUCAAAUUUGAAAUCUGGUAGCCUUCGGCUGCCCGAGUUGUAAUCUAGAGAAGUGUUUUCCGUGCCGGCCCAUGUACAAGUCCCUUGGAACAGGGCGUCAUAGAGGGUGAGAAUCCCGUCCUUGACAUGGACCCCCGGUGCUUUGUGAUACACUUUCAACGAGUCGAGUUGUUUGGGAAUGCAGCUCAAAAUGGGUGGUGAAUUCCAUCUAAAGCUAAAUAUUGGCGAGAGACCGAUAGCGAACAAGUACCGUGAGGGAAAGAUGAAAAGCACUUUGGAAAGAGAGUUAAACAGUACGUGAAAUUGUUGAAAGGGAAACGAUUGAAGUCAGUCAUGCUCUUUGGAUUCAGCCGUUCUGCGGUGUAUUUCCAUUGAGUGGGGUCAACAUCAGUUUUGAUCGCUGGAUAAAGGCACUAGGAAGGUAGCACUCUCGGGUGAACUUAUAGCCUAGCGUCAUAUACAGUGAUUGGGACUGAGGAACGCAGCAUGCCUUUAUGGCCGGGAUUCGUCCACGUACAUGCUUAGGAUGUUGACAUAAUGGCUUUAAACGACCCGUCUUGAAAC
rnacentral:rRNA from 1 species